GCAGAGAAAAUAGAGAAGCACCUUUAGAUGUAUUGUAACAUCUGUGAGUACAGCUGGCUCUUUUUCUGUGUGUUCUUCUUAUUAUGUGCAAUUUGUAUGUUUUCUUCUCCGUCUUCAGAAAAAAAAAAAAGAAAAAGAAAAGAAAAAAGAAAAAAUCUCUGAAGAGAAGAAACUUGCAAAGCUUGUUAUUACCAGGGCAAAACUCCCACUCCUCCUGUAGAGACAGGAACGGCCAAGCUCUCAUUCAACCUUGGCUGUAAUACCUGCUAUCAUUUGUCAGCCUUCACGUAAUCAGGAUCCAGAAACCAGGAUCUGAUGGUGCCUGUGAGCUGGGCUGCUACUGCACUGUAGAAGUCCAUCAGAAAUGCUCUGACAGGAAGAAAAUAUGUUUUCUGCAGCCCCUGGCUCCCUGCCAGCUGUGGGAUAGCUGCUACAGACACAGACUAGCCCAGACAGUCCUAAUACAUCAUAAUAUUAUGAAACCUCCUCGAAGCAAUGCUAAGAUAAUGUAGGGCAGGAUUUAGUCUGUGGGCUCCUGAGGAAGACCUCUGCCUCAGAUGAAAUCUGGACCCAUGGCUGAGGAGCAACAUCUUCCUCUCCCAC